CCGCGACUUCUCCAAAAUUUCCACCGGCGCAAUAGAAAAUAUACACUUAAUUUUCUCAAAAGCGCCGAAUGCUUUUCACAAAUUCUCGCAAGCUCGGCGGGAGGGAGAGAGUAACCUACACCCCUCUCAACCCUAGGAACUCCACCUCCUUUGAAAAUGUGCUAACACCAACAAGUGUCCACCACCAAAGUGCAUGUGUGUUAGUUUUUCACAAAUAUUUUCAUCAAAGAAGUUAGGUUAGCACUUUACUAGAUCCUAAUGCAUAUGCUCAAGAUAUGGACAUAGUAGCACUUCAUUCGAGAGAUGACCGUGAUUUUCCCUCUUGAUAGUCAGCUAUCUAUCCUAAAUCCGGUCAUUCACUUCUUUACUCAACUAUGACCAGCAAAAGUAAAACCCUAUGUUUAUACCUUUGCCUUGAUAACUUUGCUCCUCGUCUAUCACCUUGAUCUUCACUUCAUGCUUCAUCCUUUGUGAUCAUGUGGCCACCUUUCCAUGCCACCAUACACCUUCAUCACAUGUGUUGUUAUGCCUAACUCAAAUCACUUAAACACAAGGCAUUAACAACUUGAUGUCAUUAAUUACCAAAACCAAACUUAGGCUUUCAUCAGCCUGCCGCCGAUGUUUCCCGCUCCACGUGCCGUGUGAGUUUUCCCCGGAAUCAAUUGGGCGGCGCGCCGAUGUUACCAAGGGAGCCGCAGUCUCUGCAUGCGAGGACGGGCCACCACGUGGAGUGCCCACAACCAUGUAUUUUCAUAACGUAGACUCGUAGUUGGUGUCGUUGUUUUCAAUUUUUUUAUUUUCCUUUCAUGUUUCCAUUCUUCUUAUUUUUUUAUUUAUUUAUUUUUCUAUUCUUGUUUCAUUUAUUUUCUUCUUUUUCAUUUUUUGUUUUUUAGUCUUAUUCUUUUUUCUUUUAUUAUUUUCCUUUUUCUUUUAUUUUCUUUGUUUUCCAUAUUAUAAUUUUUUAUUUUAUUUUAUUUUCUAUUUUUUCGUCAUUUCUUCGUGUGCUUCUUUUUAAUUUUUUGUUUUAUGUGAUUAUGUAUUAUUCUUUAAUUUUUAUAUUUUUUUGUUUCUUUUAUUUUUUUUCCAAAUUUUACAUUUGCUUCCUUUUAUUAUCAUUUUUUAUUUGUCUUCUCUAAUUUAAUUUUAUUUUAUUUUUGUGAUUUUUUCAUUAUUAUUUGCAAUUUUUUUGUCCUUGUUUAAGUGAUUCAUAUAUUUUAUGUGUUCUACAUAUUUAUCAUUUGUUAAUUAUGUUUUUAUGUAUAAGUUUCUUCUUUUUGUUGUUUUAGUCUAAUAAAAUGUUUCCUUUUUGUUAUUUUACUCUAAUAAAUUACAUUGAUAUUUUUUACUUUUUUAUUUUUCUUAUAUAUGUAUGUUCGCGUGGUGUAUAUUUGAUGUUCUAUGAUGCGUUAUGUCAUGUUUAUGUAGUAUUCAUAUAAUGUUUUAUGAUAUUUUUUAUUGUUCAUGUAGUAUAUAUGUGAUGCUGAUGUAAUAUACACGUGAUGUUUUAUGAUGUUUUUUGUGAUGUUAACUUAUGAUUUCUAUAAUAUUUUUAGUGAUGUCCUAUGGUGUAUUUAGUAAUGUUCUAUUGUGUAUUUAGUGAUAUUCACUUAGUAUACACGUGGUAUUCUGUAAUGUAUUUAGUAAUAUUCACAUAAUAUAUAUGCGAUGUCUAUAAUGUAUUUAGUCAUGUUCUAUUGUGUAUUUAGUAAUGUUCAUUUACUACACAUGUGGUGUUCUAUAGUUUUUUUAGAUAUUUAAAAAGUAUUAAUGUGAUGUUCUUUUAAUCUUUCUCUAUUUCGUGUGUUAUUUUCUAUGCUUUGCUCUAUAUUUUAUUAUUUGUAUUUAAGAAUAUUCAAAUUAUCUUGAUGGAAUGUUCACGUUGUAUAUAUGUGAUGUUCAUAUAGUAUACCUACGAUGUUCUAUGAUAUAUUUUUAGAUGUUCAAGUAUAAUUUAUUUCUACUGUUAUAUGAGUUUUCCUUUUUUUUCUUUCUUCUGAUUUGUUUUUCCUGUUACUUUUUUUAGUGUUUCAUGAAAUGAUGUGGUAUUUUUAGUAUAAGAACAUUGUUCUUGUGAUUGCUGGAUUUCUUUUUGGACUUUAAACGGUACAAUCAUUUAAUAAUAAGACUAUUACAUAAUUUAUCAUAAACAUGUAUGUGGUGUAGUGGUGGUAAGAAACUUCUUUAAAAGCAGUAGAUUCUUGUGUUCAAAUCCUGACUUUGUGACAAUUUUUUGUUUUUAUUCUCAAGGUUUGUAUCAGGAAUGGACCAGCUGAGUUGGGCCGAAAACGUCCCAAGGGCUGUAGCAAUAACGACCAAACUGAGUUGGGCCAAAAAUGAAGGGUGGGAAGUGUUACGAGUAGAAUGCGAGAGUACGAGAACAGAGAGGAAUAGAAUGAACUCAGGUGUUUCUUUAUUCAUUGAUCACGGGUAUUUAUACAGUCGGGGGGGGAGAGGAAACUCUCGCCCCAAGUAAACUCGUGCCCACGAUGAGUCGUGGGUGAUAUCACGGAGGUGGAACCGGUCUCCACGGGUACGUGCGUAGUCUUGGGUGAUAUCCCGUGGGCCAUCGUGGGGGAAGUCGUAGUUAGGAUAGAUCUCCCGUAAAGGGAAUCCGAGGAGAUGAGAUCACCCCGGAAAAUAUCCGUAACACUCCCCCUUGAUCGAAUCACUUGUUGAGAUCAAUGAAUCGUAUUGCUCCUCCAAAAAUUCCUGUAGGAUAAAAACGAGGAAAAAUACGUGUGUAUAUGUGCUAUAGUAAAACUCCUUAAAACCGCUUGGGAAAAGAAGGAGAAAAUUAUAGCACUUAAUGAUUGCCUCAUUGUAAACUAAUAUGAGAAAACCUUUGCAGGAGAAAAACUCAUGUUGUAGUUUAGAGGACAAUAUGUGUCUUUGAUACUCCUUUAAAAACCCCUGUGGGGAAAACAAGGAAUAUGACACUCUUGUGUUAAUAUUAUCUCAUUAAAAACUCCUUAUGAGAAACCUUGUGAGGAAAGACUCAUAGAGAGAAAAGAGUAUAAUAUGAUGGUGUAGACAGGCCAAUGUCUAGGAGAUUUCUCCCCCUGAACUUUGCAAAUCCCUAAGUCGUCGCAUACCAAUUCCUUUGACACAUUUUUCAAAUGAGGAAGCUGGUAGGGACUUAGUGAAUAGAUCAGCAAGAUUGUCGCAUGAUUUGGUUUUCAAGAUAUCAAUCUCUCCCUUUUGUUGUAAUUCAUGAGGAUAGAACAACUUUGGGGAGAUGUGUUUGUUGAUAUUGCUCUUGAUGUAGCCUGUCUCCAUCUGUGUAACACAAGCCGCAUUAUCUUCAUAGAUAAUGGUUGGAGCUGUGAUAGCUUUAAGACCACACGACUGCUGUAUGUGGUUGAUCAUUCUGCGAAGCCAAACGCAUUCACGUGAGGCCUCAUAUAAUGCGACUAUUUCAGAAUGAUUCGUGGACGUUGUUGCCAAGGUUUGCUUGGAUGAUGUCCAUGAUAUGGCGGUUCCGUUUUGUAAAAAUACGAAACCGGUUUGUGAUCUGCCAUUAUGGGGGUCUGAUUGAUAUCCAGCAUCGGUAUAUCCUAUCAUCUCGGAAUUUGUUCCUCUUUGGAAGAAUAAUCCGAGAUCCCUUGUGCCAUUAACAUAUCUGAGGAUCUGUUUUACUCCUGUCCAAUGUCUCUUGGUAGGAGCGGCACUGUGCCUUGCUAGCAAAUUCACUGCGAAAGCGAUGUCAGGCCUGGUGCUAUUGGCAAGGUACAUCAGUGCUCCGACGGCACUAAGGUAUGGGACAUGAGGUCCUAGGAUUUCCUCCCCCUCAUCUUGUGGUCUGAAUGGAUCAGUGUUUAGUCCCAAAGACCGAACAACCAUAGGGGUUUUGGAAGGAUAUGCUUUGUCCAUAUUGAAUCUCUCCAAUACUUUCUGGACAUAUGCAGAUUGAUGCACAAAGAUUCCAGUUGAAAGAUGCUCAAGCUGUAGGCCUAAGCAGAAUUUGGUUUUACCCAAAUCCUUCAACUCGAACUCCGUCUUAAGGUGUUUGCAUGCCUCAUCAAUAUCUUGUUUGUGGCCGAUGAUAUUUAAAUCAUCAACAUACACCGAUAUGAUGCAGAAUCCCGUUUGGGAUUUCUUGAUGAAGACACAUGGGCAAUCAUCACUGUUGGAGUAGCCCUUCUGCAGAAGGUACUCGCUGAGUCGGUUAUACCACAUUCUUCCCGACUGCUUUAAGCCAUAGAGUGAUUUCUCUAGCUUUACACAAUACAUGUUGCGAUUUGCGUUUUGAUUCGGUAUUGGGAUUCCGUCGGGAACCUUCAUGUAUAUGUCCGAAUCGAGUGACCCAUAGAGAUAUGCAGUCACUACGUCCAUCAACUGCAUAGAUAGACGAUUUUGUACAGCCAGAGAGAUUAAGUAUCGGAAUGUUAUUCCACCCAUGACUGGAGAGUAUGUUUCAUUGAAGUCAAUGCCGGGUCUCUGCGUGAACCCUUGUGCUACAAGCCUCGCUUUGUGUCUCACCACCUCAUUGUUCUCGUUCCGCUUUCGGACGAAAACCCACUUGAAUCCCACAGGGAAUACUUGUGGAGGUGUAGGUAUUACUUGUGAGAAUACCUGUCUUUUUGUGAGCGAGGAUAUUUCUGCUUGGAUUGCAUCUUUCCAUUGGUUCCAGUCCGAGCGCGUUUUGCACUCUGCCAUGGUCUUAGGAUCUGGAUCAUUUUCAAGGAUUUCGGCAAUCAUUGCGGAGAAAUAUGAGUCGACAAUUGUAGUCUUUCUAUCAAAUGACUCUCCAGUUUCUGCAUAGUUGAUGGAAAUUUCAUGGACCCUUUCCGAUGCAUCAUCAUUUCCCAAGAUGGUCGCAUCAGGGUAUUCCGAUGUCCCAGCAUCAGUAAUUGAGUGCACUGUUGAUGUGGGAUGUGAAGGUUGAACCUCCACUGGGUGUUUCUCAACAUGAGGUUGAGCUACAUUUACUGGAUCAGAAGAUUUUGUCUUCCGUUUCCUUUGCUUGCUAGAAGCUGUAUCCGUGGAGAUAGCCGUACUUCUCCCCCUCUUACUAGGGAGUUGAGUAGUUUUGUUUGGUACCUCUACUCUUUCCGGUACAUUUCUCGCUGGAUUAUAGGAUUUUGUAACACCCUUAUAAUCAGUAAAUGCGUCUGGCACGUUGUUUGCAAUGUGUUGCAAAUUUAUGAUUUUCUGAACUUGGAGUUCAGAUUCUGAAGUACGUGGAUCUGAGUUGGGUAUGUCUGGGGCAUCCCAAUUGAUUUCCUGGCAUUGUUUGUGAUGUGGUAAGUCUCCCCCUAAUGCCGGGAAAUGAUCUUCAUUGAAGAUACAAUCAGCGUACCGGGCCGUAAAGAGGUCCCCUGUGGUGGGCUCCAGAUACUUUAUGAUCGACGGAGAUUUGUAUCCCACAUAGAUCCCCAGUUUUCUAUGGGGGCCCAUUGUUGUACGCUUCGGUGGUGAGAUCGGUACGUAUGUAGCGCAACCGAACUUUCGCAGAUGGGAAAUGCUUGGGGGAUUUCCAUGUACUAGUUGCAACGGGGACGUUGCAUGGUAUGCAGUUGGUCGCAAUUGAAUCAGUUCAGCAGCGUGUAAGACUGCAUGACCCCAACAUGAGGUUGGUAGAUUGCAAUUCUGCAAUAGCGGUCUAGCGAUGAGCUUGAUUCUCUUGAUGAGAGACUCGGCUAACCCAUUUUGUGUGUGGACAUAUGGGACAGAAUGCUGUACUUGUAUUCCUAAGGCCAUACAAUAGUCAUUGAAGGCACGAGAGGAAAAUUCAGCAGCGUUAUCCAUCCUAAUGGAUUUUAUUUGAUGUUCAGGUUGUUGCGCUUUGAGUUUGAUAACUUGCGCAAUUAUUUUGGCAAAAGCAUGGUUUCGUGUCGAUAGAAGAGACACAUGAGACCAUCGUGUGGAUGCGUCUAUUAGAACCAUGAAGUACCUGAACGGUCCCGAUAAAGGAUUUAUCGGGCCACAUAUGUCCCCUUGAAUGCGUUCAAGGAAGUUGAGUGGUUCAACUUUGAUUUUGAGGGAAGAGGGCCUCAAAAUUAAUUUCCCUGUUGCACAUGCGGUGCAAGUAUAAUCUGAGGAUUGGGGAAACUUUGCAUUGGUUAGCGAGUGACCAACAGAAUUGCUAGUAAUUUUUCUCAUCAUCCCUAUGCCAGGGUGACCAAGGCGAUCAUGCCAAGUUUGGAAUGCAUUGACAUUCUGAAAAAUUACUUUGUACGCAACAUGUUGUACGGGUUUUAUGUAUGAAUAGUACAAUCCAGACGAAGUUGAGGGAAUUCUUUCGAGAGUAUCUCUGCCAUAUCCGUUAUCCUUUGUAAUGAGGAGGAACUCCUCAUUAUUUUGGUGAUGGGUUUCGAUAUGAUACCCAUUUUUGCGGAUAUCUCUAUAACUCAAUAAGGUACGAGUUGAAUCAGGAUACAGAAGUGCAUCCUCGAUUGUAAUCGUUGUACCCAUAGGAAGCGUAAUAAUGGCUCUUCCAGAGCCUGCUAUUACAGCAUCGCGUCCAGCGAUUGUUAAAACAUUUCCUUUGCUCUUUGUGAGAGUUUGGAAAUAUUUUAUUUCCCUGAGUAUAGAGUUAGUGGUGCCACUGUCCACUAGGCACAUUUCCUCAUCCAUCGGAUUGACUCCCGUACAAUCUAUGAAAAUAGAGAAUAUAAAAGAGAAUGAAAUUCUCAACAUGAAUAUAUAUAUGAAAUAUAAACAUUUAUUGAUGUUGAAUUGUGCAUAAGUCAAUGAACAUCAAACAGAGUGUAGCAAAAACAAAUUGUCAAUUAUUACAAUCCCGAAGGCGAAUGAUGAAAUUAAAAUUUCAAAUGACUAUCAAUCUAGUUGUAGUCGCCGAACAGAUCAUCAGAAUUGUAUUCAAUGAUCAUGUUGUUGGUGGAGUCAUUUGCCAUGCCAUCAGGUGGAAGAGGCGCCAUUGUGUUGCUCGGUCCCGCUGGGGCGGGGUUGGAACAUCCGGGGGCUGCCAGAUCGUUGAAGUGUGCUUCAGACGGUUGUCCACCUUGGUUGGAGCGUCCUUGGUUGGAGCGUCCUCGUCCCACGGAAUGCAAGUACAGUUCCACAAGGUGCUUAGGGGUGCGGCAUUUCUUAGUCGGGUGGUUGUAGCAACCACACUUUGUACAAGUUGAGGACUUGUCUUUUGACUUAGAGUUGUUGCCUUUGCCCUUAGUACCUCGAGGCUUACGGGGUCCCUUGCGCUUGUUUUUGCCUUUGGAGGAUCUAGGAUUGCCAUUUUUGUUGGCAUCCUUUGGUGUCUGUUUCUGAGCAUUUGCAUGUACUUCGGGCAAGGGCUUGGCACCGACAGGGCCUUGAUUGGAGUUCCAUAUGAGGAGCUCAUUGUGCCUCUCAGCCUGAAGUAAUGUUUUAAUGAGAUCAGAAUAGACUGUGAAUCCCCUCUCACGGUAUUGCUGUUGGAGGAUCAUUUGAGCGGGAAGCAUGGUAGACAAAGUCUUUUCAAUUUUCUCCGCAUCAGAUGGCUCCUUUUCACAAAACCUCAGUUUGGAACUGAGUUUGUGCAUGGCAUGGUUAUAUUCAUUCACAGAUUUGAAAUCUUGAAUGCGGAGGUGGUUCCACUCAUGAGUGGCCUCCGGGAGAAUAACUGCCUUUUGUUGCUCAUACCGCUGUUGCAAAGCAAGCCAGAGAGCCCGUGGGUCCUCUUCCAUCAGAUAUUCAGCUUUGAGAUCUGAAUGGAUGUGGUUCCUUAUUAUGUAUAAGGCAUGGUACUUGGAUGGUUCAGACAAUGGAGCAUCUCCCUGUUUGGGAGUGUCAAUUGCCCUAUACAUUCCGCGUAACGAUAGACUCACUUUGAGAUCCAUCGCCCAUGUAGGGAAGUUGUGUCCAUCAAGAGCUAGCUCGGCAAAUUCCUUCUUAGAAGAAACUUGGGCAUCAGACUCUUUGGUGGCCAUUGCCUACAUGUUUAUUUGCAUAAUCUUAAUUAAUUGCGGGGUUGUAAAAUUAACAAGAAUGUAAUUGCAUAUUUAUAUAACAAUGUAAAAUUGUAUAUGUAAAGCAAUGUAAAAUUGCGUAUGUAAGACAAUAUAAAAUUGCGUAUGUAAAGCAAUGUAAAAUUGCGUAUGUAAAUAACAAGGUAAACUUGUUUAUGUGUAGCAAGGUAAACUUGCAUAUGUUUUAUGGUAUUUUGAUUUCUCAUUUUGUGGAACAUAGGUAGUCACCAUGGAGGUGUAGACCAUUUUAUAUUUUCACUUUGGGAUGUAGUCCUUGUAUGUUUAUUAUUAAAUUUGGGAGAGCACUUUGAGGAAUAGAUCCCGCAGUAGUAUGAGUACUACCUUGUGUUCGCCAAAAUGAUAAUAAAGUAAGGUGACAUCUAGUGAAAAAUAAUAUUCCAAAUAGGGAGAAAAAUUGACCAUAAAAAUAUUUACAUAUAUACAUGUGAUAGGGAAUUGUAAAGACAAAACGCGUUCGACAUGUAAAUUCUCCAUUCAUAAUAUGAUUGCGGAAUGUAAAAAUAUUUACAAUGCAAUAUAUACAUCAGUGUCUAAAUUUACAAGAAAAUUAGACUAAGAAACUGAUGUAAUUUAGGGAAUGAAAAAUUGCUAUGUAAAUAAAUAAAUAAAAUUAGCUAAUGCAUAAUAAUAAAAAGCCAAUGAUAACUGGCCCAGGCUGAAAGCUCGCAGGCCCCAACCUGGGCCUGGGCCACCAAUUUGGCCCAAUUGGGGGGGGGGGAUUUGGGCCAUAUAUAAGGCCAGGGGCUAGGGUUUCCAAACCCUAACCCCCAGCCUCCCAGCCGCCGCCGCCAGCGCCCUGGCCAGGAGGGCCUCCAAGCCGCCGCCGCCGCCAGGGGGCGCGCCCCUGCGUGUGGGCCCGCGGGGCCACCUCGUGCCGCGCGCCCUUGUGGGGCCAGCGCAGAGGAGUGGCUGGCCAUUCCGGUCAGGGCACAGAGGGCCGCGUCGUCGCGAGCUUCGCAGCCGCGGGCGGAGUCGCGCGCUCGCCGAGGCCGCCGCCGUCGUGCCGCGUGCCGCGCGUGGGCCGCACCAUGCGGGCGCGUGGAGAAGCCGCGGUCGCGGGGCGAGGCCGCGUCGUCGGGCGAGCGGGGACCGCGAGCGGAGGCCGCGCCGCGCAGGCGCGUGGGGCCGCCCGUGGCCGCGCCGUGCGGGCGCGUGAAGCCGCGGGGGACGCCGCCGUCGGGGGCCGCGCAGGCCGCCGUGUGCCGCGCGGCGCGCGUGGGCCGCGCCGUGCGGGCGAACGGGAGCCGCGGCGCCGGGUCGCCGUGCCGAGGCCGGGCGUCGCGCGAGGCCACCGCUCGGGGCAGGCCGCUGAAGUCGCGCGGUGGUCCGUCGAGUCCGCGAACGGCACCUCCUCCCCCUCCCCCUCUCCCCCAGUGACGUUCUCAAGCCGGGGGAGCGCGUCCCCGAGCCGAUGGCCCGUGGGGGACGCUGAUCCACGUGCGGCGGAGACGCGGGGGCGGAGUUGGUGGCGGCGGUGGUGGAGCAGCGAGCGCUGGGUCGACGAAGUACGGCGGCAGACGAGUCGGCGCCGACAUCCGCGCCGCGAUUGUUGGUGGAGACGGACGGCGCGGAGGCGGGCUGUGCGCAGCCCGCUCAGAAGACGGCGUCGGCGUCGGGUACCGAAUCGGCGACUGAGGCUCUAUGCCCAGUGACAGCCAUUGGCUGGCCACCAUGGAUGGUGGCGGUGGUGGGCACGGGCCGUCGCCGUGGAGCGGGCACCGAGGCCGGGGUGGAGCCGGCAAGGCGAGGACCGGCGCUGGAGGCGCCGGUGGAGUUGGUACCCUCGAUGGUGGCGCCGCGGGCGGAGCCGCGGAUGGCGCCGCGGGCGAAGCCGUGGACGACACCACCGAACGCCGUGACGGAGGGCCGACGUUUGCAUGUCGGUUUCCCCCGAAACGACGUCGUACAGGAAAACGCCCGGGGUUCCUGUUGAGAUCACGGCGUUCGCCACGAAAGCGAUAGCCGCGAGCCUCGCCAAGGAGUUCCCGGAUGUCCUCCAGUAGUUCCGCCUGAAGGCGGUUGUUGCCAAAGUGUGUGCCCAAUGUCCGGGCACGGUUCAUCGCCAUCCAGACGAUUUGGAGGAUGAGAGAAGCCAUUGAGGCAUGAUUACGGCGAGGGAAAGGCAUGAUUCUACCUUGGGGUGAUGCCCUAGGCGAAGGUCGAUCCCUCGACGGUGUUCUAUUCAACCGAGCUAUUCCCCUCUGGGGCAGGGGAGAGCGAUGUGCUGAUAACGUGUUACGAGUAGAAUGCGAGAGUACGAGAACAGAGAGGAAUAGAAUGAACUCAGGUGUUUCUUUAUUCAUUGAUCACGGGUAUUUAUACAGUCGGGGGGGGAGAGGAAACUCUCGCCCCAAGUAAACUCGUGCCCACGAUGAGUCGUGGGUGAUAUCACGGAGGUGGAACCGGUCUCCACGGGUACGUGCGUAGUCUUGGGUGAUAUCCCGUGGGCCAUCGUGGGGGAAGUCGUAGUUAGGAUAGAUCUCCCGUAAAGGGAAUCCGAGGAGAUGAGAUCACCCCGG
rnacentral:lncRNA from 1 species